rnacentral:lncRNA from 1 species
GCCGGUGCCGGCACUGGCACCGCCCCAGUUUCACUCCCAAUCAAAAACAGCUGAAGAGCUUCCUCAAGUUUCCAACUUCAAACCUGAAGGAAUUGUCUAGCGGUGGCAGCGGUUUGACCUUGAGCAACUUCGAGAAAUGAAGUGACCAAUGUUUGUUGAUCCGUGGGAGAUACCAUACCUUCCAUUGAAUUUUCAAUUGAUCUUUCUACCUUCCUACCAGAUUAGUUUUGUUUUGCCACUUCACCGUUUCAAGCUAUUUUAA